GACAGAGGCCUCAAGCGUUAGGCGGAAUCACUGGGCUUAAAGCGUGUGUAGGCGGAUGCCUAAGUACCUUGUGAAAUCCCACGGCUCAACCGCACAAGGGCCUUGGAUACUGCCGGCCUCGAGGGAGGUAGGGGCGUGCGGAACUUCCGGUGGAGCGGUGAAAUGCGUAGAUAUCGGAAGGAACACCGGUGGCGAAAGCGGCACGCUGGGCCUCUUCUGACGCUGAGGCGCGAAAGCCAGGGGAGCAAACGGG
rnacentral:rRNA from 1 species